UAAAACUCUAAGGAAUGAUGCCUGUUGACAUCUCUCCCAGGGACAGGGGAUCCCAGUGGGCCUGACUUGAGAUGGGACAAUGCCAUAGCAAGAUAUCUGUGUUCUCAGAAUCUGACACCCCAGAGAGAAGCAGCUUUCAGUCUCUGAAGGAACAAAAUCAAAACUGCUUGAACAAGUAUCCCGGCUGGAGGAAAAACUGGAGCUGUGAAACACAAGGAAGCCCGUGA
rnacentral:lncRNA from 13 species